AUCUGGGUGGCUCGCUGGAGGUUCUGGGUUCGUGGGGUUGUUCUGGAAGGGUUCUAGUGCCGAGGAAGGGAGGAUCGUGGUGGUUCGUGGCUGGUUGGGUUUGGUUGUUAGUUAGGUGGUGCGGUGGUGUGGUGGGUAGUCUCUCUUCCAGUUCACAACUCUGCAUCUGAGUUAUGGAACCAGUUGCAGCAAAAUGUCUCUAAGCAUUCCUUCGAUACCCCUCUUUACAGAUUCAACAUCCCCAAUCUCCGGGUCGGAACCCUAGACUCUCUCAGCGAUGAUCUCGCCGAAGCUUACCAAAUAUUGCAGUAUGUGGAAUCAUAUCAGAAAGAAAAUAGUGACUGGAAUGGAAGCAAGCUUGGACAUGUUUACAAGUUUCUUAGGUCCCAGAGGUUUGAUUCAUCCUAUGAUAUUGCUAAUAAAUACAUUGACAGUUAUGCAGAUGCUCACAAGUAGGUUAGUCAUCAAAAUCCUAGAGGAAAUAUCUGUGGUGUUGACUUCAUUUGUAUUUUCAAUCCUAACCAAGCACUCAAACCCUUGAAGACAAGCUGGGCUGAAGCUGUUUUAACAAUAAUAAAGAUGUACAACAGGGGUGAUCAUGGAGCUUGGCAUUUGGAGCAUACCAGUUAGGUUUCUAGCUAUAUUUUGUAGAUUAAUUUAGUUCUAUCACAUACUUUCUACAAGACAUAAUUUCAUGAGAUAGUCUUUGAAUAA